UCAGGGGUGUGACCGAAAGGAGGGCUGCUGGGAGACAAUGACAUUCUAGAAUCUUCUCAGUUCCGUAAGCCUGGCAACUCCGCUAGAUGAAGACUGAUGAGUAAGACAGUCUUCCACCAUGCCAAGCACUCACCAAAUUCGAUGGUUGUUUUUCUUUGCCAACGCGGAUGUAACGAUAAACUGAGUAGCCCAUCACAGAAAAAAGAAAGACGAUAACAGAUGUAGGCAAGACAUACCAGAGGAUGACCUUAACCUUCAAUGCUGACAUUUGAUCUGUUAAAGAAAAAAUCAUGGGGAUUUAGUUGAGAAACUUCAGGAGCAGAGAUUUUUUUCAAGGCAUAAUCCCUGAGGAGAUAAAGUUGAUUUUUUUAAAUAAAUAAAGCUGUGUCUUGGAGGAUAUCUCUGGUGAUUGAUUGGGUGGAAUAUUAUGGGAAACUUCAAUACAAGAAGUGGUGUGCCUGUAUCUGUUCCCUUGA